rnacentral:rRNA from 2 species
UAAUACGAGGGGUGCUAGCGUUGUCCGGAAUCACUGGGCGUAAAGGGCGCGUAGGCGUCUUAGCAAGCCUUGAUUGAAAUCCCCCGGCUCAACCGGGGAACUGGUCAGGGAACUGCUAGGAUAGAGUUUGGUAGGGGAGAGCGGAAUUCCUGGUGUAGCGGUGAUAUGCGUAGAUAUCAGGAGGAACACCGAAAGCGAAGGCAGCUCUCUGGGCCAAUACUGACGCUGAGGCGCGAAAGCGUGGGGAGCAAACAGGAUUAGAUACCCUGGUAGUCCACGCCGUAAACGAUGAGCACUUGGUGUCGGGGGAUUCGACCCCCUCGGUGCCGUAGCUAACGUGUUAAGUGCUCCGCCUGGGGACUACGACCGCAAGGUUG